GAUACUCUGCUUUUGUACUCCAUUCCUAUGACUGAUUAAUUUAACUGUCUUUGACCAUGGUAGUCUUGAUUCUUGGUAUGUUAAAGUGAGAUUUUAUUAUACUUUUAUUAUUUUUUACAUACAUUUAUAUAAGCCAUUGUGUUUGCACAUAAAGACCCUGUCUAAUGUCACUUUAGUUCCUUUAUGACCCCUGUCCUGCAGCUGCAAAUGUUCUCCCUGGAACUGAGGACACUUACAAAGGAAAACUCUUGGGGUGGUACCAACAGACACUGGCUCCAGAUUUUGUUGAGAUGACCAAGAGGAAAUCUAAUCUAAUGCCUCAUAUUGCUUUGGGAUUCCUUAUCUAAGGAGAUCCUUGGAGAGCUCCCAGGUAUAGCUCUCUGAAGGGUGUCACAUCAUCCACAAUUAUAUCUGCCAGAGGAUCCAGCCACUAUAGAGAAGAUGUCUGAUUAUCUUGAAACUACAAGACUUUUAAGGAAGCCUAAGUGAGCCACCUGGAGAGAACACAAGGAGGAGAACAAAAGUGCUCCAAAUGACAUCCUCACGUGAGAUUCCAGCCUACAGCAAAGACCAACGGCCACUGUCUUGGACAUUCCAAAUCAGUUGAACCUCCAGUGAGCCAUUUUGGAUAUUUCAAACCAGCUGAGCCUUCAGAUGACUGCAGCCUCAGUUCACGUCAUAUAGAGAAAAAAUAUUCAGCUGAGCCCAACUAACCCACAGGCUCAUGAGCAGCAAUAAAUGGUGGUUGCUGAUUGAAGCCAGUGAACAAGGCAGGUAGCACAGGCCCUGAGCAACUGGCCUAGUGGUUGUGUCUGUAUGUGCACAGGGGUACUAAGGUGGGAGGCCCCAAGGCAUGAGCAGAAGCAACAGUGGUGGCAACAGUGAGCACAGCC